rnacentral:rRNA from 1 species
UACGAAGGGGACUAGCGUUGUUCGGAAUCACCGGGCGUAAAGCGUGCGCAGGCGGUUUUGCAAGCCGGAUGUGAAAUCCCCGGGCUUAACCUGGGAAUGGCAUUUGGGACUGCAAGGCUGGAGUGCGGCAGAGGAGACUGGAAUUCCUGGUGUAGCGGUGAAAUGCGCAGAUAUCAGGAAGAACACCUAUGGCGAAGGCAGCUCUCUGGGACGGUACUGACGCUGAGACGCGAAAGCGUGGGGAGCGAACAGG